rnacentral:rRNA from 1 species
GACGAACGCUGGCGGCGUGCCUAAUACAUGCAAGUAGAACGCUGAAGGAGGAGCUUGCUUCUCUGGAUGAGUUGCGAACGGGUGAGUAACGCGUAGGUAACCUGCCUGGUAGCGGGGGAUAACUAUUGGAAACGAUAGCUAAUACCGCAUAAUAGUAGAUGUUGCAUGACAUUUGCUUAAAAGGUGCAAUUGCAUCACUACCAGAUGGACCUGCGUUGUAUUAGCUAGUUGGUGGGGUAACGGCUCACCAAGGCGACGAUACAUAGCCGACCUGAGAGGGUGAGCGGCCACACUGGGACUGAGACACGGCCCAGACGCCUACGGGAGGCAGCAGUAGGGAAUCUUCGGCAAUGGACGGAAGUCUGACCGAGCAACGCCGCGUGAGUGAAGAAGGUUUUCGGAUCGUAAAGCUCUGUUGUAAGAGAAGAACGAGUGUGAGAGUGGAAAGUUCACACUGUGACGGUAUCUUACCAGAAAGGGACGGCUAACUACGUG